rnacentral:rRNA from 1 species
GGACGAACCGUACGAACGUUAUUCGGAAUCACUGGGCUUAAAGAGUGCGUAGGCGGCCUGGCAGGUUGGGUGUGAAAGCCCUCGGCUCAACCGAGGAAUUGCGCCCAAAACCGCCAGACUUGAGGGAGAUAGAGGUGAGCGGAACUAAUGGUGGAGCGGUGAAAUGCGUUGAUAUCAUUAGGAACACCUGUGGCGAAAGCGGCUCACUGGGUCUCUUCUGACGCUGAGGCACGAAAGCUAGGGGAGCGAACGGGAUUAGAUACCCCGGUAGUCCUAGCUGUAAACGAUGAGCACUGGGUCGAGGGGAACUCACAUCUUCUCGGCCGUAGCGAAAGUGUUAAGUGCUCCGCCUGGGGAGUAUGGUCGCAAGGCUGAA